AACACGUGGGCAAUCUGCCCGACAGACCGGGAUAACGCUUGGAAACGAGUGCUAAUACCGGAUAGGCUCUUGAGUCGCAUGACUCGAGAGGGAAAGAAGCUUUCGCUUCACUGUCGGAUGAGCCCGCGGCGCAUUAGCUAGUUGGUGAGGUAACGGCUCACCAAGGCGACGAUGCGUAGCCGACCUGAGAGGGUGACCGGCCACACUGGGACUGAGACACGGCCCAGACUCCUACGGGAGGCAGCAGUAGGGAAUCUUCCGCAAUGGGCGCAAGCCUGACGGAGCAACGCCGCGUGAGUGAUGAAGGCCUUCGGGUUGUUAAACUCUGUCUUCUGUGAAGAACAAGCCUGUGAGUGGAAAGCUCAGGCCCUGACGGUAACAGAGGAGAAGCCCCGGCUAACUACGUG
rnacentral:rRNA from 1 species